rnacentral:rRNA from 1 species
AAAAAACUGGCGGCAGCUUACACAUGCAAGUCCAACGGUAGCAGGAGAAAGCUUGCUUUCUUGCUGACGAGUGGCGGACGGGUGAGUAAUGCUUGGGAAUCUGGCUUAUGGAGAGGGAUAACUACUGGAAACGGUAGCUAAUACCGCGUAACAUCGGAAGAUUAAAGGGUGGGACCUUUGGGCCACCUGCCAUAAGAUGAGCCCGAGUGGGAUUAGGUAGUUGGUGGGGUAAAGGCCUACCAAGCCGACGAUCUCUAGCUGGUCUGAGAGGAUGGCCAGCCACACUGGAACUGAGACACGGUCCAGACUCCUACGGGAGGCAGCAGUGGGGAAUAUUGCACAAUGGGGGGAACCCUGAUGCAGCCAUGCCGCGUGAAUGAAGAAGGCCUUCGGGUUGUAAAGUUCUUUCGGUGAUGAGGAAGGUGUUUUGUUUAAUAGACAAAGCAAUUGACGUUAGUCACAGAAGAAGCACCGGCUAACUCCGUGCCAGCAGCCGCGGUAAU